rnacentral:lncRNA from 1 species
GAAGAAUCCUGUGUAAAUUAAACAGGUUCAAAAAUUCUAAUCAUCACAAGGAGUUUGACUAGAAUGGUUGACAACCCUACAGAGAAUGAUCCAAAAUCUAAAAGCACCGCUCUAAAUUCAGAUAAGGCUCAAACCGUCUUCUGCCAACAGCUACUUUUGUGACUCUGGGGAUUCUGUUAAGCUUUCUCUUUUGGAGUAAAACAUCUCUCUCUCUCUCUCUCUCUCUCUCUCUCUCUCUCUCUCUCUCUCUCUCUGAAAAACACACACACCCCAAAUACAUGCAAUAAUAAUUAAAAUCACUAUUGGUGUUAAUGAUUUUUUUGCUUAUUUGUUUUGGUUGUUAUUGUUGUUGCUUGUGGGUUUGUUUGUUUGUUUCUUUGUUUGUUUUUGAGAUAAAGUCUCACCCUGUGGUCCAGGCUUGCCAAUCCUCCAGCUCCAGCCUUCUGAAUGCUGGGAUUGCAGUGAUGUGACAGCCAUAGCAACUGACUCCUGACCAGCCAGCUGUUGGUCUCUUUCUGGCUGCACUGGCUGCUUUGAAUGAAAGGACUAUCAAUCGAAAACCUACCAUCCAGACUGCCCUUGUGUCAGCACCAUCAGUGUGGGGGAAAAGGAAAACCACACAAGAGCCACCUGUGUUGGUAGACACAUGUAAUCCCCACGCCCCUGAGCUGGAGUUUGACUAGAAGGCCAUCAUUCUUUUUUUGUUUGUUUGUUCUUGUUUUUGUUUUUUCGAGACAGGGUUUCUCUGUGUAGCCCUGGCUGUCCUGGAACUCACUCUGUAAACCAGGCUGGCCUCAAACUCAGAAAUCUGCCUGCUCCGACUCCCAAGUGCUGGGAUUACAGGCGUGCACCACCACUGCCCAGUGAAGGCCAUCAUUCUUGACUACAUGGUGAGUUUCCAUUCUGAGGAAACUGC